rnacentral:lncRNA from 1 species
CGCUCAGUGGGCAGGAGGCCUCCACGCAGAGCGGGGCUGGCAGCACAAGGAACUCCAUGAUGGCAUCGCACAGCGCAUGGCGCAGGGCCCCACGCAGCUUCUCUGACAACUGCAGCAGACUAAUGUUGCCCUUCUCCCAGAUGUCCAGGCGCACCAGCACGCAGGGCUCUGUGUGCUGGGUGCCAGCCUCUGGCUGGUGCUUGCUAACAGCAGUGAGGCUUUCGAAGUCAGCAUCCUGCAGCAGGUCCACGAUGGGCACCUUAGGAGAGCCAGGUCUCUCCCCGUG